GGACGACUAUUAUAGCAUACAGCAAAAUAACUCUGCGGAAGUCUAUCGAAUCACACGCAUGAUCGCGAUUGGUUACCGAUGUUGGAUCGGUCGUGUCCGUCAACCGUGAAUCGAAUGCUGAAGGAAAAAAAACCCCUAACAUUUUUUUUUAAAUUAAAUUGACGUGCGUUUUGUAACCCGAAGUCCGUCCUUUGGUGCGCCGCCGUUUCAAUAAUAUUCGUGAAAUGUUAAAACCGGUUGGUUCGUAUUUUUCGUGCUGUAUGCAUAAAACAGUAGGCUGGAAUUUUUCGCGAACCCAUCACGGACGUAGGUAUGCCGAUGGACGAAU